ACCUACGGGGGGCAGCAGUGGGGAAUCUUGCGCAAUGGGCGAAAGCCUGACGCAGCCAUGCCGCGUGAAUGAUGAAGGUCUUAGGAUUGUAAAAUUCUUUCACCGGGGACGAUAAUGACGGUACCCGGAGAAGAAGCCCCGGCUAACUUCGUGCCAGCAGCCGCGGUAAUACGAAGGGGGCUAGCGUUGCUCGGAAUUACUGGGCGUAAAGGGAGCGUAGGCGGACAUUUAAGUCAGGGGUGAAAUCCCGGGGCUCAACCUCGGAAUUGCCUUUGAUACUGGGUGUCUUGAGUGUGAGAGAGGUAUGUGGAACUCCGAGUGUAGAGGUGAAAUUCGUAGAUAUUCGGAAGAACACCAGUGGCGAAGGCGACAUACUGGCUCAUUACUGACGCUGAGGCUCGAAAGCGUGGGGAGCAAACAGGAUUAGAUACCCGAGUAGUCAA
rnacentral:rRNA from 1 species